rnacentral:lncRNA from 1 species
GUCAGAAAAAAGAGAUGCAACGAUGGAAGCAGGGAUAGAGAGAUGCUGCCUCCAUGAAGGGAGGGGUCACAAGCCAAGGAAUGAGGGAAGCCUUUAGAAGCUGGAAAAGGCAAGAAAACUCCCCACAGAGCCUCCUGAAAGGAAUGUAACUCCACAAAGACCUUGAUUUUAGCCCCGUGGCACUGAUGUGGGAUUCUGACCUGCAGAAUUAUAGGACGCCUGCCACAGCAUGGCUUGAUAAGCAGUGCAGAGGUCCACACCUGGGAUCCCAACCGGUGAACCCCAAGCCACCAAAGCAGAGCACAAGAACUUAACUGCUAUGCCACCAGGCCAGCUCCUCGUGGUUCUGAUUCAUAUUUCCUUCAUGAUUAUGACAUUGAGCAUACUUUCAUGUACUUUUGCUUAAUUGUAUGUCUUAUUUGGAGAAAGUGUCUAUUUAAUUCCUUUGCCCAUAUUUUCAUUUGUUUUUUGUUUGUUUGUUUGCUAUUGAGUUAUUGGAGUUCCUUAUAUAUUUUGGAAAUUAGCCCUUAUCAGGUAUGUGGUUUAUAAAUAUUUUUUCCCAUUUCAUAGACUUUUAACUCUGCUGAUUCUUUUCUUUGUUGUGUGGAAGAUUUGUAGUUUGAUAUAGUCUUAUUUGUCUACUUUUGCUUUUGUAGCUUUUGCUUUUGGUGUCACAUCCAAGACAUCAUUGCUAAGAUCAAUGUCAUGGAGAUUUUUUCCUAUUUCUUCUUCUAGGCGUUUCAUAGUUUCAGGUCUUAUGUUUAGAUCUUUAACCCAUUGUGAGUUUAUUUUUGUGUUCAGAGUAAGACAAGGAUCCCAAUUUCAUUUGUUUGUAUGUAGAUAUUCAGUUGUCCCAACACCAUUUGUUGAAGAGGCCAUCCUUUCCCCAUCGUGUAUUCUUGUCACCUUUGUUGACCAUCAGUUGGCCAUAUGUGCAUGGGUUUAUUUCUAGGUUCUCUACUUUGUUCCAUUGGUCUUUGUCUGUUUUUAGACCAGUACAAUACUGUUUUAAUUACUGUAGAUUUGUAACAUAUUUUGAAAUCAGGAAAUGUGAUGCCUCCAUCUUUAUUCUUUGUCUGGUUUGCUUUGGCUAUUCAGGGUGUUUUUUGGUUCAAUAUGAAUUUUAGAAUUAUUUUUCUAUUUCUGUAAAAACUGUGUUUGGUAUUUUUGUAGAUAUGCAUUGAAUCUGUAGAUUACUUUGCAGACUAUGGACAUUUUAACAAUGUUGUCUUCCAAUCCAUCUAUUUACUUCUAUCUUCUCUAAUUUUUUUCAUCAAUGUUUUGUAGUUUUCAGUGUAUAUUUUUCACCUCCUUGGUUAAUUUCAUUCCUAAGUAUUUUAAUCUUUUUGGUGCUAUUAUAAAUGG